rnacentral:rRNA from 1 species
AGCGAACGCUGGCGGCAGGCUUAAUACAUGCAAGUCGAGCGCCUGUAGCAAUACAGGAGCGGCAGACGGGAGAGUAACACGUGGGAACGUGCCCUUUGGUUCGGAACAACACAGGGAAACUUGUGCUAAUACCGGAUAAGCCCUUACGGGGAAAGAUUUAUCGCCAAAGGAUCGGCCCGCGUCUGAUUAGCUAGUUGGUGGGGUAAUGGCCCACCAAGGCGACGAUCAGAGCUGGUCUGAGAGGAUGAUCAGCCUCAUUGGGACUGAGACACGGCCCAAACUCCUACGGGAGGCAGCAGUAGGGAAUAUUGGACAAUGGGCGCAAGCCUGAUCCAGCGAUGCCGCGUGUGUGAAGAAGGCCUGGCGGGUUGUAAAGCACUUUC